CACAGGUGGUCAGGUAGAGAAUACCAAGGCGCUUGAGAGAACUCGGGUGAAGGAACUAGGCAAAAUGGUGCCGUAACUUCGGGAGAAGGCACGCUGACACGUAGGUGAAGUGAUUUACUCAUGGAGCUGAAGUCAGUCGAAGAUACCAGCUGGCUGCAACUGUUUAUUAAAAACACAGCACUGUGCAAACACGAAAGUGGACGUAUACGGUGUGACGCCUGCCCGGUGCCGGAA
rnacentral:rRNA from 1 species